GACAGAGGGUGCAAGCGUUGUUCGGAAUUACUGGGCGUAAAGGGCGCGUAGGCGGCCUUCUAAGUCAGACGUGAAAUCCCUCGGCUCAACCGGGGAACUGCGUCUGAGACUGGAAGGCUUGAAUCCGGGAGAGGGAUGUGGAAUUCCAGGUGUAGCGGUGAAAUUCGUAGAUAUCGGGAGGGACACCAGUGGCGAAGGCGGCGAUCUGGGAAGAUACUGACGCUGAGAGGCGAAAGUGUGGGGAGCAAACAGG
rnacentral:rRNA from 1 species